rnacentral:tRNA from 1 species
GCCUGGGUGGCUCAGUCGGUUGAGCGUCCGACUUCGGCUCAGGUCAUGAUCUCACAGUUUGUGGGUUCAAGCCCCACAUCAGGCU